AAUAAAGUAAUAUAUAUUAUUAUAAAGUAUUGAAAAUGCUUAAAAAGGCGCGUAGUGUCUCUUUAUUA